rnacentral:sRNA from 1 species
AAAAAAAAAUCAAAAAUUUCUGGAGUAGUUUCUCGAGC